rfam:Ruminococcus lactaris ATCC 29176 Scfld_02_23 genomic scaffold, whole genome shotgun sequence.
UGAUGCCAGGGUCAAAAGGUCUAAGCCCACAUGAGCUUGCUCAUAGGUGGAUGAAAGACCUUAGGACCCGCCUCGAUAUGAGCAUAAAAGUGGGGCGUAAGCACCAUGAUAUGCGAAUAGCGGGUAGGAUUGUGGGAGUGCGUAGCAUGAAACAAUCCGUAGGCAUCA